rnacentral:rRNA from 1 species
GGCUCCCAGCCUGGAAUGGCGGGAGCUGGAACGGUUCCGACGCCACAGGAUGUGACUGCGGCCGAUUAGGUAGACGGUGGGGUAACGGCCCACCGUGCCCAUAAUCGGUACGGGUCAUGAGAGUGAGAGCCCGGAGACGGGAUCUGAGACAAGAUCCCGGGCCCUACGGGGCGCAGCAGGCGCGAAACCUUUACAAUGCACGCAAGUGCGAUAAGGGAACUCCAAGUGCGAGGGCAUACCGUCCUCGCUUUUCUGCACUGUAAGGAGGUGCAGGAACAAGGGCUGGGCAAGACCGGUGCCAGCCGCCGCGGUAAUACCGGCAGCCCGAGUGAUGGCCAAGCUUAUUGGGCCUAAAGCGUCCGUAGCCGGCCGGGCGGGUCCAUCGGGAAAUCCACACGCCCAACGUGUGGACGUCCGGUGGAAACUGUCCGGCUUGGGGCCGGAGGACCCGAGGGGUACGUCCGGGGUAGGAGUGAAAUCCUGUAAUCCUGGACGGACCACCGGUGGCGAAAGCGCCUCGGGAAGACGGACCCGACGGUGAGGGACGAAAGCUAGGGUCUCGAACCGGAUUAGAUACCCGGGUAGUCCUAGCCGUAAACGAUGCCCACUCGGUGUGGCACUGGCUACGAGCCAGUGCUGUGCCCUAGGGAAGCCGUGAAGUGGGCCGCCUGGGAAGUACGGCCGCAAGGCUGAAACUUAAAGGAAUUGGCGGGGGAGCACUACAACCGGAGGAGCCUGCGGUUUAAUUGGAGUCAACGCCGGA